AUGCUCACUUCCACAGCACAUAUACUACAAUUAGAAUGAUACAGAGAAAAUUAGCAUGGCCCCUGCACAAGGAUGACAUGCAAAUUGUGAAGCGUUCCGUAUUUUU
ensembl:snRNA U6 U6 spliceosomal RNA